AUUGAACGCUGGCGGCAUGCCUUACACAUGCAAGUCGAACGGUAACAGGUCUUCGGAUGCUGACGAGUGGCGAACGGGUGAGUAAUACAUCGGAACGUGCCUAGUAGUGGGGGAUAACUACUCGAAAGAGUGGCUAAUACCGCAUGAGAUCUACGGAUGAAAGCAGGGGAUCGCAAGACCUUGUGCUACUAGAGCGGCCGAUGGCAGCUUAGGUAGUUGGUGGGAUAAAAGCUUACCAAGCCGACGAUCUGUAGCUGGUCUGAGAGGACGAUCAGCCACACUGGGACUGAGACACGGCCCAGACUCCUACGGGAGGCAGCAGUGGGGAAUUUUGGACAAUGGGCGCAAGCCUGAUCCAGCAAUGCCGCGUGCAGGAUGAAGGCCUUCGGGUUGUAAACUGCUUUUGUACAGAACGAAAAGCCCUGGGUUAAUACCCUGGGGUCAUGACGGUACCGUAAGAAUAAGCACCGGCUAACUACGUGCCAGCCGCCGCCGUAAGAC
rnacentral:rRNA from 1 species